rnacentral:rRNA from 1 species
CCUACGGGAGGCAGCAGUGGGGAAUAUUGCACAAUGGGGGAAACCCUGAUGCAGCGACGCCGCGUGAGCGAAGAAGUAUUUCGGUAUGUAAAGCUCUAUCAGCAGGGAAGAAAAUGACGGUACCUGACUAAGAAGCCCCGGCUAAAUACGUGCCAGCAGCCGCGGUAAUACGUAUGGGGCAAGCGUUAUCCGGAUUUACUGGGUGUAAAGGGAGCGCAGGCGGCUUGGCAAGUCUGAUGUGAAAGGCUGGGGCUCAACCCCAGGACUGCAUUGGAAACUGUUAGGCUAGAGUGUCGGAGAGGUAA